AAGAGAGGAAGACCAAGGCUCAGAUGGAUGGAUCUGGUGCUGGAUGAUUUGAGGACAAUGCGAGUCACUGGAUGGGGAACCAAGACCCAGGACCGCAACUUCUGGAGGCGCAUUGUGGAGGAGGCCAAGGCCCAUGUCGGGCUGUAGCGCCUAUUAUUGUUGUUGUUGUUGUAUUCUUUGUUCUA